GAGAAUACGAAACAAGUGACAAAAUUCUUCGUAAAUGUGUUUACUUCCAUGAAGUAACUAGGUGACUGAUCAGUGUAUGUGUUCACAUCCCUUUGUAUUUUUGUUAAAGCAGAGUUUGUAACCUUAUUUCUUAACGUUCAUUUUCAAACGUAUGCCGAUAGCUAUGUUCCUUAUCUUAACUUUUUUUGAUGGAAUUUAAAGGCAGUUCCUCUUUAGCCACAUACAUGUACCUCUGGUCAUUGAAUAAUAGUUCGGUAAACUGUUACGAAUCACUUGAGCACAAACAUCAAAUGUAGAUUUAUAUCUCGAAGAGGAAAAAAAUGGUUGGAGUUGAAUAUCAAAGCGAGAUUUACAGAAAGAGAGCAUUGAGAAGAGCUUAAAGAAUAGCGAGUAACAAUACUGGCUAAGCCAAAGAUAGACAAAAGGUAACUGAAGUAUACUUACGGUCGUCAAGUUAAUUACUUAUGCCUUAUUCGUUACUCAUGUCUUAUUCCAUAUUUUUUUUACCUAUUCGUUACUUAUUCCUUAUUCCAUAUGUGUUACCUAUUCGUUACUUAUUCCUUAUUCCAUAUUUGUUACCUAUUACUUAUUCCUUAUUCGUUACCAAUUUCAUUCUUAUCCAUUCCUCUUUUUUUUUUUUAGGUACUUAUUUUUUUUAUUACUUAUUGCGUAUUUAUUACUUAUUCCAUAUUUAUUCUUUACUUAUUCCUUAUUUGUUUCUUAUUCGAUAUUAGUAUUUUUGCCCUAUAAAAUACUCUGAUAAUACUAAUCAAGUGAAAUAAUAGGUAUCUGUUUUUGCGCUUGACUAUACCCCUGUUACUUAUUCGAUUCUUUUUCGCAUUUUUAUACAUCUUAUGCAUCUUUUUAAUGAUUUCUUUUUUUUUUCUUUUUUGUCACUGGUGAUAGUUCAUGGAUCGUUGAAGUAACUCUUUUAACGCAUAAGCAUUUUUUUGGGGCGUUUGACAAAUACACUGUUACUUAUUUGCUACUUAUUAUUUGUUCUUUAUUAGAUUUUUAUACGUUGUUUUAUUUAUGUGUCUCUGGUGUUGAUUCUUGGUUCGAAGAGGUGAAAUUAUCCUUUAAAUGCAUAUGUAUCCGUUUCCGCGCUGUACUGAUACCCUGUUAUCUAGUGGCUACUUAAUUGUUCCUUAUUCACUUUAUAUACAUUGCAUUUUAAUGCUUUCUUUUUAGUUAUUUUCUUGUCUCAGGUGUGGGUUUGAAGAUGGGCGAAAACCAUAUGAGAGCGUGUGUGCUCAUUUCAGUGGGCGACCGAUACACUGUUUCUAAUUCGUUCCAUGUGCGUGUGUACUCCAUUGCACCUCUUAAAAAUAUUUUCAAUGUGUGCUGGUCUAUGGUGUCAGCUAUAGGUUCCUAGAGGUAACAAUGCCGACUUCAGCGGGUAUGUUCCCCUUAUAGCGCUCGACUGAUAUUAUGUUACUUUUUGCUACUAAUUCGUUCAUUAUUAACUUUUUAUACAUUGCAUCUUUUUAAUGCUUUCCUUUUUCAUUGUUUUCUUGUCUCUAGUAUUAUCUGUUUGUUUGUUGAAAAAAAAUAACUAUAUAAUCACGUAUGUAGUCUUUUCAGGCCGCGACGGAUACCCUGUUACUUAUUCGUUACUAUUAGUUUGUUAUACGCUUGUUAUACAUUGCAUCUUUCAAACCAAACCCUUUCAAUUUUUUUUAUUAGAGGUGAAUAACAUCAUUAGCUUCUAUGUACCCGUUUCAGCGCUUCACUGAUACCCUGUUACUUAUACGCUUCUUAAUCGGUCCUUAUUCCCUUUUUAUACAUUUUUGAAUGACUUCUUUUCCUUAUAUUCUUAUCUUUGGUGUGGGUUUGUAGAUUGGAAAUAACCAUAUGAGUGGGUAUGUUUGUUUCAGCGUGCGACUGAUAUUCUGUGACUUAUUUGUUUCCUACUCGUUUGUUAUUCGUUUUUCAUACGAUGCAUCUUGUAUAAACAAAAUUUGAAUAUGUUUUCUUGUCUCGGGUGUUAUCUAUGGGUUCUUAGAAGUCAAAAGAUCUAUAAGCGCGUACGUACCCGUUUCAAUGUUCGAUUGAUACCCGGUUUCUUAUUCGAUACUCAUUCGUUUCUUAUUAACUUUUUAUACGAUGAAACUUUUUCUGGCUUUCUUUUCUUACUUUUAGUCUCUGGUGUUAGAUGUAGGGUCGUAGAAAGAAAAUCAACCUUUCAAACGGGAUUUAACUAUUGUUUAUAUUUUGGACGCAUACGUAGGGGACGAUUAUGCAAUUUUGCGAGUUUGUAUGUAAUGAAACUUAUCAAAGUACUGGAAAUUUCUAUUCCUCGCAUUGGUAUUGUACUGAACUCGAGAUAUAAUAUGCUUCCGUUCCAUUUUACCUAAAGAACUACUAUAAGCACAACGAAUUUUAAUACAUAUAUGUUUUAUCAGUCAUGUAUGGAAAAAAUAGUCGUUUAUUAGUUAUUUUAAAUAAAAAUGAAAUUGAAAUUCAGUUAAUGAUUUAUUUAUAACAGGAAGAAAUGAAAACAGGAAUAACAAAAAUUCUUUACAAGUAGGAAUUAAUUACCACUAAAAAAUAUGCAUCACGAACCAUGAACUGUUGAUAUCAGAUGCAAGGUUAUGUGUCUUAAACACUUGAUUGGGAUACAAUCUAAUAAACUUAUCACAUUUGUCCACCAGAUUUUGCAGUCCAGUCUGUUAGUUUAAGACGUCCACCAUCUCAUGUAUUUUUUGAUUCUAUCGAAAAAUAAUUAAGCACCACGUACUGCAGCUAUCUAAACAUAUUUAAAAUGCAAGCCUCAGGAUUGUAUCCACUUGUAUUGGGGUCUUAAAUGAUAAACACAAUUAUUUGGUCUACCAGACUUGUUGAUCCAGUCUGCAAGUUGAAAAGGUCCACCCAUAACAUAUUCUUAGAAGAAAAAAACAAGCGAUUCGGACUGCACCUUUCUUCCAAAAUGUCGAAAUAACAAAUGUCUAAACCACUUGAUUGGGAUCUUAUCUUCGUGGUCCAGUCUGCAAGUUUAAGAUGACCACCCAGUUCAUAUAUUUAUAAGCCCCACCAACAGAACACAUUUAACAACCCGGUCUGCAGCUAUCCUACCCUGCAUCCAACAAACAAGGUACAGGGUCUAAAUCACUUUCUUCUGGUCUUAUCGGAUUCUUUGGCCUAUUUAUCCAUCAGAUUUGAAGCACAUCUAUUAGCACCUACAAAAAAUGAAUUACGCGAACAGCGCUGUACUUUUCAUCUAGUAGGUUCAACAGGCAAUGUCCAGAAUCUAAAUUACUCUGUUGUGGUCUUACCCGGUUUUAAUGCCAAUUUUGUAAACCAGACUGAAUGUUUUGGUCUACAAGGCCAACAUAGUAAGAUCUAUAACGGUGCCUUUCAUAAAGCAUAUUUCUUUGAUAACUGGAGAAAGCAAGGUUCAGAAGCUAAAUCACUCUGUUGUGAUCUUAAAAGUGACUUUGUCCAAAACCAGGUCGAGCGAAUUCAUGUAAGCCUAUUUUAAGCUGUUAUAUUAUAUCGCUUUAAAAUACCGCAACGUGUGAAUAGCAAACAAAAAACAAAACGGUUUUAGUAACAGGGUAUCAAUCAAGCGAGGAGACGGGAAAAACAUGCCAACAGGGUUAUUUCAUCUGCACAAACUAAUAACUAACACCAGAAAGCGAGGAGACGAGAAAAAACAUGCCAACAGGGUUAUUUCACCUGCACAAACUAAUAACUAACACCAGAAACAUGAAAACAAAAGAUCCAACGUAUAGAGAGCGAAUAAGGAACACAUAAAUAACAGGUUUAUCACCGGAGCGUUAAAACUGGCACAUAUGCGCUCACUGGGGUUAUUUCAACAGCACGAAUCAUAAAAGGGUUACUUCACGCCAACAAACUCACUGUUAACAAAAACAAAACAAAAAUAGGAAAAGAAAUAAACUAAAGGUGCACGUUGAAAUGAUGAAUAAAAACCCAAUAAGUAACGAAUAAGUAACAGGGUAUCAGUCAAGCACCGAAGCGGGUACAUACGCGCUAAUAUAGGGUUAUUUCAAGUCUUACAGCCCAGCGCUAACAUUAGAGAUUAAAAAAAGACGGCAGUAAAAAGAUGCAACAUAUACAAAGUUAAUAUCAGUACCAAAUAUAAACAGGGUAUCAGUCGAUCGCCGAACAGGUACAAAUGCGUAUAUAGGGUUAUGACACCUUUACCAGGCCUGAGCUAAGAGCAGAGAUAUAAAUAAUCAUUUGAGAUUGUGCUUUGGGAGGUGUAAAGUCACAAAAAAAAAAAAAAAAAAAACACAUAGUGAUGAGGAACGAUUAAGUACAGGUAUAAGUCAAAGACCAAUUGGUAACAUUAGAGACAUGAAAUAAAAGUAAAAGACAACAUUUAAAAGGUUAAACGUUAUGUAUUGAAAGAAUUACUGCAUGUGUUUACUCUUUUAAUUGUUUGGUAUUUGACAGCAUGGGAGAAUAGGUUGUUAGAAGUUAAAAAAAUUAUCUUGAUAUUUCCUUUAAUCAUUCUUGUAGUUGAGUUGCUUCUCAUGGAUAUACCCACAUCCUUCAAACAUGUAAGCUCCAUAUAAUGAUCCUAAAAAAGGUCAUACGAAAGUUAAAUCAAAAAUGUUAUUGUGUAUAAAUUAAGUGCUUUGUUUCUUCCAAUUAAAGAAAUUAUAAAAAUGCAUUGAACAAAGUUAAAACUCACUAUAAUGAUCUAUAAUUUCUAUUGCAAAAAAACAAAUCAUAAUUAUAUAUAUGUCUUUAAAAUAUUGAUUGUAAACCUUCGGACCACCAUUUAAGGGUUCUGUGCUUGAUUCCAUAUGGAUGAUUAAUAGCUUGUAAAUGAAAUAAACUACAUGUACAUGUUGUUAUGGAAAUUCUAUAGGUUAUUUCAAAGUCAGUUUAAAAUAAACUAUUAUCAUAAUUAUAGAUUCAUCAUAUCAUUAAAUUUAUCAAACAAAGGCACAUGCAGUGUAACCGCGUUCAACAAUUUCUAUAUUCAGCACUCAUCACUUUGCUUCUUUCCAUUUCUCUCCAAGAUGUGCAAAAUUGAUCUGAAAUAAAAAUUUAAUCUUUAAAUGACAAAAUUGUAACUAUGUAUGUAUGUAUGUAUGUACUGUAAAUGCCUCCCAAUCCGAAAACCCAUCGCAAGCUACAAGGUGCCAUGCAUCAUGUACACUCCUAACGGGAUUAAUGGAGAUGAUCAUGUGUCAACUAACAUUGUUUAUACAACAAUUAUGUUACAAAGACAAUCAAUCCUCCAACCAAAGGAGUGUAGGACACGGUAAGUCUGUUUUUAUAGUGGAGGAAGCGAAGUAUUCAGAAGAACCACGGGCCACUCGGAGGAAACAGACAAACCGUGAGAUAUCAGAGAUGAUCUCAGUCAAAGUAGGGACUCUAGUACAGAUUACUGUGAACUUGGAAAAGUUGUAAGCCUGCAUCCACUAGAUAUAUAAAGUAAAUGCAUUUGUGUUUCAGAAAGAUAAAUCUCUUGGAUUUUGAUGGCAUUUUUUCCUUCAUGCAAUGGUGUGAACAUUACUCAGUUGUGAUACAACUAUAGAUGCACCCUCAGUAAAAAACCGGUUGUAUUGUUUUGGUGUCCUUAAUUGACAUGGACAGAGUAUCUCACAACUAUAGGCGAGUUAAUCUGAGUCAGCGGUGAGUGGACAGUAUCAAAGUAAUUCAAGUGUUUGUUUAUUUUUGCACCUUCUGCAGAAUGGAAAAAUGCCAUCAAAAACCAGAAAGAUUUUAUUUAAUACAAAUUCAUUGAACUUUUAUAUAUCUAGUGGAUAUGCUAGGCAUUAAAACUUUCCAAACAGCACAGGUAAGUCUGUAUAUUGAGUGGUUUUUGAGUUGAAAUACUGCCAUAUUUGUUCAUUUGUUAUGAUGAACCUUAAACUCUGGUCUGGGUACCAGAGAUGUGUGUGAGAGGGUGAAAAUACCCUUUAAUGUACUGAAUUUUUGCACCCGAGUGAGAAUCGAACUCGGCGGGACCUUCAGCACUGUAGCCAUCGGUCUUGACCACUAGUCCACGAACUCUCUCGAAUGAUUUAUAAAGGGGACUAAUAACAAACACUGAAACUGACGUAUCUACAAAAAAGUAAUGCAUGCACUUGAGUAUGCAGUGUUUCAUUUCUUUAAAGAUAGUUCUUAUUAAUGAAGUAAAUGUAUUUGAAAGUAUAUUUACAAAUGCACAAAUCUUAUUACCUAGCUUUACAAAUUUCAGGCAUGGUGAAUGCUACUUCCUCCAUUUUUUAUUUUUUUUUAGUUUUACCACAAAGGAACGAUAAGUCUAGAAAAAUUCCGAAAAUAUCUAACUCAUGUGUUUGCAUAUUUGGACACGCCCUCACAUUACAAUCAUUCGAACCGAUUGGAUCCAGACUCUACAUAUGCAUAUGGAGCGUCUGGAUAAUCGAGACUACUCGAAAAAAAAAUAGGAACGAGUAAGGCACAAACAGGCAGGAAGGUGUAUGUGCGUUUAUAGGGUAAUCUCACCUCCACAAACCACAAGCUACCAACAGAGGCAAACACAUGAUAAAUAUAAUGCAACGUAUUAAAAGCAAAAAUAGAAUAAAUAAGUAACAGAGUAUAAGUCGCGCGCUGAAAGGGGAACAUACGCGCUCAUAUGUUUAUUUCCCGUCUACAAACCCAACACUAGAAAUAAGACGAUAAAAGAGAAGAAAGCAAAAAUAAGAUGCAACGUAUAAAAAGUUAACAAGAACGAACAAGUAGCGAAUAAGUGAUAGUAUAUCAGUGGAGCGCUGAAAUGGUACAUACGCACUUUUUCAAAAGUGCAAUGUUUAACAAGCGUAUUACACUGAUAAAAGAACGAAUUACUAACAGUCGCGUUCUGAAAUCGGUAUAUAAGCGUUUAUAGGAUGAUUCCCCAUCAAAAACUCACAGCUAACAUCAGGCACAAGGAAAUAAAAGAAAAGUAAGCAUUGACCAAAUGAGACGUAUAAAUAUUUAAUUAGGAACGAAUAAGUAGCGAAUAAGUAACAUGGUAUCAGUCGAGCGUUGAAACUGGUUCUUACGAGCCUAGAGGAUAAUUUCAUCGCUAAAAACAUAUUGCUAACACAUGUACACCAGAGGCAAGACAAUAUUUGAAAAGAUUUUUUAAAGGGAAAACGAAGUAGCAUACGCCUUACUUACGAAAAAGGAACAAAUAAAUAACGGGUAUCAGUCGCGCUGAAACGGGUGCAUUUGCGCUCAUAUGAUUAUUUUCCAUCUGCAAUUUCAUAGCUAAUAUUCACAUGAGACAAGAAAAUAAAAGAAAAAUCCAACAUUUAAAAUGUGAAUAAAGAAAAAAACAAGUAGGAAAUAAAAAACAGAGCAUCAGUCGCGCGCUCAAACGGGAACACACGCGCUUAUAUUGUUAUUUCACAUCUAAGAACCCGUAGCUAACACAAGAGACAAGAACAAAAUUGAAAAGUUCUUCUUAUAAAGGUUCCCCAUUCAUUGGUAUAAACCACAAUAUUACAACAAUAAGAGCAGUGUAUCAGUAGUGUGCUAUAACGAGAACAUUACGCGCAUGACCCCCCCCCCCCCCCCCCCCCCCCCCACAAAAAAAAACAAAACAAAAGAAAAUAAAGCAUUAAAAGGUGCAACGUACAAAAAAUGAAUAAGUAACGAAUAAGGAACGAGUAAGUCAAAUGGUAUCAAUCGAGCGCUGAAACGGGGAAAACAUUAUAAGAUAUGUCACCUCUCAGAACCAACAGAUAAUACCAGAGACGAGAACAAUUCAAAUAUAUUCUUAAGUUGCAACGUAUAACAAACGAAGUAGUAACGAAUAAGUACCAGAGUAUUUUUAUGAAAUGAAACUUCAGCUGACUAUGGACUCAACGUGUAGUAAAAAGAUGAUUUUCAAAUAUGCAAGACUCAUCAACAUUAAAAUGUGCAUAAGUGAAAUGUUACCAUAUUUAGUAAAAAAAUUCAGAAUAUUGACUCAGUUGUUUUCAUGAUUUUGUUUUUGUUUUUCAAAGCAAUUCACUUUGUAUAUAAUAAGAGUCCACAUUUUAUUUUAUACUUCGACAAACGAAUAUAUCUUCCUCAGGACUCCAGUGUUUCCCUUUUUAUUUUGCAUUGAGUUUAAUUUAAAGGAAAGGACGUUACUUAGGCAAUUAAUUUUACAAAUUUCCUAUUUUUUUUUUUCAUGUAAAUUAACUUUUACCCAUCAGUUGUAAAACUCAAUUUUGUUUAAAUUUUUUUCAGAAUUGAACCACAAGAGGCUGAAUAUUGAUCAAUAACUCACUUUUGAUAUUUAUCACAUAUCACAUACUUAAAUAAUCUAUAAAAUUGAAAAUGGAAAUGGGGAUUGUGUCAAAGAUACAGCACCCCUACCAAAGAGCAGAUAACAUGAGCAAAACCAAUAGUGUGCUUAGAUUGAUUACCUUCACUUUUGCCCUGUUGUUGAGAUUUAGUGAAAUACUUUAAUAAUUUUAUCCCUUUUCAAUUUAAGGAGAGGGGAACCAGUAUUCAACACUGCAUUACUACAUGUAUGUCUUAUCACCAGUUACAAAUGUAUGAUACAGCCAACCAUACAACAUAGCCCCUAUGACUGAAAGGAGAAAAGAGAUGCACAACAUACAAAAAAUAUUCCAUAUUGCUACCUACAUUGUAUCAUUUGAAAUAUUUCAUUGAUUUUUUUAAGUGAAACAGUUUUUUGUUAGAAAUUAUUUUUUAAAGGUACUAUAGUUCCCUUUCAGUUUGCCUGCAGUUGGGGUAUGAUUGCCAAUGAGAUUACUCUCCACCACAUACCAAAUGACUAAAAGGUCAAUGCAUAUAGAUCUCUGACGGCCUUCAACAUUUAGCAGAACCAAUAACGUAUAGUAAGCUACAUGUACAAAAGACCCCUAAAUAACAUGACCACAGAUAGGCUGCAAAGGAAUAUUCUGCAUCUGUAUGCAAAAGUGAAAUGUAUUUAGACAUAAAGCAUAUGGAGUAAUUCAAUGGAUGCAAAUAAAUAGUCAAUCGAGAACAAAAUCCUACUAUAGAUCUCCAAUGUUAUGGUUUAUGCAGUUUAUUCCACAAAUCGGCAACAAACUUUUACAUACUUCAUUAAAAUAAUUUACAUAAAACAAAAUUGAAAAAUUAAAAAAGAAAACAGGUACCGUUGAAUGGAUAUAAAGGUAAAGCACCCAGGACGGGCAAGUACUAGUACGAAGACACCAGGAUUCUCUUCGAAUUCCAACCAACUAGUCUUACCUAGAAUUUCAAAUAGUCGCCCCCCCCCCUCUAUGCAUAGAGAUAUUACUAUAUAUGUAAUAUUAAUAUAGUAAUUAUAUCAAUGUCCUAAGAAAAUGCAAAUUUUAAAUAAGUAAAGUCCGCAAGAGUUUGGACCUUCACUGCAAACCAGAAAUUGACGCAUGCCUUUGACAAAAUUACCCCUUUUUGUUACAAAAAAAAAAGAAAAAAAAAACAAAAAAAAACAUUACAAUAAAUGUAUUAACGAAAGGAAAAUUAUAAAUGAAAAGAAAUCGAUAUAACCUAAUCAGUAGAUAAGUUGGUUCAAAAAA
rnacentral:lncRNA from 1 species